rnacentral:rRNA from 1 species
UACAGAGGUCCCAAGCGUUGUUCGGAUUCACUGGGCGUAAAGGGUGCGCAGGUGGCAUGGUAAGUUCGAUGUGAAAGCCCCGGGCUUAACCCGGGAAAGGCAUUGGAUACUACUGUGCUGGAGGAUUGGAGGGGGGACUGGAAUUCUUGGUGUAGCCGUGAAAUGCGUAGAUAUCAAGAGGAACACCAGUGGCGAAGGCGAGUCCCUGGACAAUACCUGACACUGAGGCACGAAAGCCAAGGGAGCAAACAGG